rnacentral:lncRNA from 1 species
CAUCCAACGUCUCUUCUUUCUAUCGCCAAACCAAAACAAAAUCGUCUUUGCAGUUUUAACAAUUUAAUUUCUCCAACAUCUAAAAUAUGGCACCAAAAAAUGACAUUUCUAAAAUAGGCCAAGAAGGCUUUGCUCUUCUUGACGAAAUGUAUGAAAGGAAGAAAACUUUUAACAAUUUAAUUUCUCCAACACCUAAAAUAUGGCACCAAAAAAUGACAUUUCUAAAAUAGGCCAAGAAGGCUUUGCUCUUCUUGACGAAAUGUAUGAAAGGAAGAAAAGGCCUUCUUCUGCUUCAUACCAACAAAAGAAGUUCCAUAUUGUUCAGCUGAAACCAGCUUCUGCCUUUCAAGAGGGAGUUAUAAACAGCCAUGAAGCUGUAAAGUUAUAUGGAGGGAUUGUUUUCUCAGAUUAUUCUAAGAGAAAAUCAACAACUUUUGCUUAUUAAUAAGUUCCUGCUGCUGGUUGGCUAUUGUAGCUAUGUAUAUGUAUGUGAUGAAGCUUGUUUUUUCUUUUUUUAAAUAUUAGAUUAAUCCAUCCACCCCAGCUUUCACCUCUCGUGGUGUCGGGGGAUUUAGCGAAGAUCCCAACCAUAUAAGAUAUAGCUCGCUACUUGUAUGUGUAUUAUAUAUGUGUUCUAGGUAUAAGGUAUUAGUUAUGUUUCCCCUAGGUAAUCAUAGCUGAGCAUGUAAGUGAUGAUGUUUUAUAUUUCACUUAUAUGUAAUAAUAUAUAUCUCUAUCCCAGGGUAGAGGUAAGGUCUGCGUACAUACUAUCCUUCCUAGACCCUACUAUGUGGGAUUAUACUGAGUUGUUAUUGUUAUUGUUAUUAUUGUUGUAAUAAUAUAUAUAUAUCAUGCUCCGUUGUGAUUUAAGCUGGUCAUAUGAAUCGAUCUUUUGUUUUAAACUAAUAUACCACUAGGUAGUGUAACUUCGAAGCUUAUUUUAUUAAAAAUAAAUACCUC